CCUAGAGUUGUAGGCUUUGCCUGCUAUCUCUUACCCAUGUCUUUUGAGUACCUUCGUUUCCUCGGCGGGUCCGCCCGCCGAUUUGGACAAUUUAAACCAUUUGCAGUUGCAAUCAGCGUCUGAAAAAACUUAAUAGUUA
rnacentral:misc_RNA from 1 species